rnacentral:rRNA from 1 species
GACGAACGCUGGCGGCAUGCCUAAUACAUGCAAGUCGAGCGAACAGAUGAAGUGCUUGCACUUCUGACGUUAGCGGCGAACGGGUGAGUAACACGUAAGGAAUCAACCUAUAAGCGGGGGAUAACAUUCGGAAACGGGUGCUAAUACCGCAUAAUAUCUUCUUCCGCAUGGAAGAAGAUUGAAAGACGGCUCUGCUGUCACUUAUAGAUGACCUUGCGGUGCAUUAGUUAGUUGGUGGGGUAAUGGCCUACCAAGACGAUGAUGCAUAGCCGACCUGGGAGGGUGAUCGGCCACAUUGGGGCUGAGACACGGCCCAAACUCCUACGGGAGGCAGCAGUAGGGAAUCUUCCGCAAUGGGCGAAAGCCUGACGGAGCAAUGCCGCGUGAGUGAAGAAGGCCUUCGGGUCGUAAAACUCUGUUAUAAGAGAAGAACAAAUUGUAGAGUAACUGCUACAGUCUUGACGGUAUCUUAUCAGAAAGCCACGGCUAACUACGUGCCAGCAGCCGCCGUAA